AGCAGCCGCGGUAAUUCCAGCUCCAAUAGCGUAUAUUAAAGUUGUUGCAGUUAAAAAGCUCGUAGUUGAAUUUCGGGAUCAAUACGUCGGUCGUGCUUAGGUACGUACUGGCGUAAUUGAUUUCUCCCUUCUGACGAACCAUGAUGUCAUUAACUUGGUGUCAUGGGAAAUCAGGACUGUUACUUUGAAAAAAUUAGAGUGUUUAAAGCAGGCUCACGCUUGAAUACAUUAGCAUGGAAUAAUGAAAUAGGACGUUCGAUCCUAUUUUGUUGGUUUUUAGGAUCAACGUAAUGAUUAAUAGGGAUAGUUGGGGGCAUUAGUAUUCAAUUGUCAGAGGUGAAAUUCUUGGAUUUAUUGAAGACUAACUACUGCGAAAGCAUUUGCCAAGGAUGUUUUCAUUAAUCAAGAACGAAAGUUAGGGGAUCGAAGACGAUUAGAUACCGUCGUAGUCUUAACCGUAAACUAUGCCGACUAGGGAUCGGAUGAUGUUAAUUUUUUAAUGUACUCAUUCGGCGCCUUA
rnacentral:rRNA from 1 species